rnacentral:rRNA from 1 species
GACGAACCGAGCGAACGUUGUUCGGAAUCACUGGGCUUAAAGGGCGCGUAGGCGGGCUCCCAAGUUCGAGGUGAAAUCCUCCGGCUCAACCGGAGAACUGCCUCGAAUACUGGAGGCCUCGAGGCGGGUAGGGGCGUGCGGAACUGUGGGUGGAGCGGUGAAAUGCGUUGAUAUCCACAGGAACUCCGGUGGCGAAGGCGGCACGCUGGACCCGAUCUGACGCUGAGGCGCGAAAGCCAGGGGAGCAAACGGG